rnacentral:rRNA from 1 species
UCAAAAACAUCGCCUCCCGCAAAAACCACAAUGUAUAGGAGGUCUUGCCUGCCCAGUGACUACAAGUUAAACGGCCGCGGUAUUUUGACCGUGCAAAGGUAGCGCAAUCACUUGUCUUUUAAAUGAAGACCUGUAUGAAUGGUGGAACGAGGGCUUAACUGUCUCCCCCUUCAAGUCAAUGAAGUUGAUCUCCCCGUGCAGAAGCGGGCAUAACAAUACAAGACGAGAAGACCCUUUGGAGCUUAAGAUGCAAGACCAACUAUGUCAAGAAACCUCAAAAGGACUAAACUAAAUAGCAACUGGUCCCCAUCUUCGGUUGGGGCGACCACGGGAGACAAAAAAGCUCCCACGCGGACUGGGGGAACCCCCAAAACUAAGAGAGACAUCUCUAAGUCGCAGAAUAUCUGACCAAAAAGAUCCGGCUUUUUGCCGAUCAACGGACCAAGUUACCCUAGGGAUAACAGCGCAAUCCCCUUCCAGAGUUCAUAUCGACAAGGGGGUUUACGACCUCGAUGUUGGAUCAGGACAUCCUAAUGGUGCAGCCGCUAUUAAGGGUUCGUUUGUUCAACGAUUAAAGUCCUACGUGAUCUGA